GAGGUUAAGAGCUCUGGCUGCUCU
rnacentral:piRNA from 1 species